rnacentral:rRNA from 1 species
GGAAUCUGGGAGGACCAUCUCCUAAGGCUAAAUACUCUCUAGUGACCGAUAGUGAACCAGUACCGUGAGGGAAAGGUGAAAAGCACCCCGGAAGGGGAGUGAAAUAGAACCUGAAACCGUGUGCUUACAAGUAGUCAGAGCCCGUUAAUGGGUGAUGGCGUGCCUUUUGUAGAAUGAACCGGCGAGUUACGAUUUGAUGCAAGGUUAAGCAGUAAAUGUGGAGCCGUAGCGAAAGCGAGUCUGAAUAGGGCGUUUAGUAUUUGGUCGUAGACCCGAAACCAGGUGAUCUACCCUUGGUCAGGUUGAAGUUCAGGUAACACUGAAUGGAGGACCGAACCGACUUACGUUGAAAAGUGAGCGGAUGAACUGAGGGUAGCGGAGAAAUUCCAAUCGAACCUGGAGAUAGCUGGUUCUCUCCGAAAUAGCUUUAGGGCUAGCCUCAAGUGAUGAUUAUUG